rnacentral:rRNA from 1 species
CUUCGGUCCGUGAGUAAAGCGGCGGACGGGUGAGUAACACGUGGAUAACCUACCCUUCGGCGGGGGACAACAGCCCGAAAGGGCUGCUAAUACCGCAUACGUCGGCAGCAGCAACAGUUGCAGCCGGGAAAGCCAGCCACUACAUGUAAGCUGGCGCCGAAGGAGGGGUCCGCGUCCCAUCAGCUUGUUGGUGAGGUAAAAGCUCACCAAGGCUAAGACGGGUAGCUGGUCUGAGAGGAUGAUCAGCCACACUGGGACUGAGACACGGCCCAGACUCCUACGGGAGGCAGCAGUGGGGAAUAUUGGGCAAUGGAGGCAACUCUGACCCAGCCACACCGCGUGAGUGAUGAAGGCCUUCGGGUCGUAAAGCUCUGUGGGGAAGGACGAAACUACGCAGGUAAAUAGCCUGCGGACUGACGGUACUUCCUUAGCAAGCACCGGCUAACUCCGUGCCAGCAGCCGCGGUAAUACGGAGGGUGCAAACGUUGCUCGGAAUUAUUGGGCGUAAAGCGUGCGUAGGCGGCCUGGCAAGUCGGGUGUGAAAGCCCUCGGCUUAACCGAGGAAGUGCACUCGAAACUACCCGGCUUGAGUACCGGAGAGGGUGACGGAAUUCCCGGUGUAGAGGUGAAAUUCGUAGAUAUCGGGAGGAACACCAGUGGCGAAGGCGGUCAUCUGGACGGAUACUGACG